rnacentral:rRNA from 1 species
AGGUAAGCUACUAAGAGCGAAUGGUGGAUGCCUUGACUGGUAAAGGCGAUGAAGGACGUACUAGACUGCGAUAAGCUACGGGGAGCUGUCAAGAAGCUUUGAUCCGUAGAUUUCCGAAUGGGGCAACCCAAUGUAUAGAGAUAUACAUUACCUAUAUAGGAGCGAACGAGGGGAAUUGAAACAUCUUAGUACCCUCAGGAAAAGAAAUCAAUAGAGAUUGCGUCAGUAGCGGCGAGCGAAAGCGCAAGAGGGCAAACCCAGUGCUUGCACUGGGGGUUGUAGGACUGCAAUGUGCAAGAGGUGAGUUUAGCAGAACAUUCUGGAAAGUAUAGCCAUAGAGGGUGAUAGUCCCGUAUGCGAAAAACAAACCUUAGCUAGCAGUAUCCUGAGUAGGGCGGGACACGAGAAAUCCUGUCUGAAGCUGGGUCGACCACGAUCCAACCCUAAAUACUAAUACCAGAUCGAUAGUGCACAAGUACCGUGAGGGAAAGGUGAAAAGAACUGAGGUGAUCAGAGUGAAAUAGAACCUGAAACCAUUUGCUUACAAUCAUUCAGAGCCCUAUGUAGCAAUACAGGGUGAUGGACUGCCUUUUGCAUAAUGAGCCUGCGAGUUGUGGUGUCUGGCAAGGUUAAGCAAACGCGAAGCCGUAGCGAAAGCGAGUCUGAAUAGGGCGCUUAGUCAGAUGCUGCAGACCCGAAACGAAGUGAUCUAUCCAUGAGCAAGUUGAAGCUAGUGUAAGAACUAGUGGAGGACUGAACCCAUAGGCGUUGAAAAGCCCCGGGAUGACUUGUGGAUAGGGGUGAAAGGCCAAUCAAACUUCGUGAUAGCUGGUUCUCUCCGAAAUAUAUUUAGGUAUAGCGUUGUGUCGUAAUAUAAGGGGGUAGAGCACUGAAUGGGCUAGGGCAUACACCAAUGUACCAAACCCUAUCAAACUCCGAAUACCUUAUAUGUAAUCACAGCAGUCAGGCGGCGAGUGAUAAAAUCCGUCGUCAAGAGGGAAACAACCCAGACUACCAGCUAAGGUCCCUAAAUCUUACUUAAGUGGAAAACGAUGUGAAGUUACUUAAACAACCAGGAGGUUGGCUUAGAAGCAGCCAUCCUUUAAAGAAAGCGUAAUAGCUCACUGGUCUAGUGAUUUUGCGCGGAAAAUAUAACGGGGCUAAAGUAAGUACCGAAGCUGUAGACUUGCGCACAACUUAGAUUAUUUAAGUUUAGAAUAUGAGAAACUAAGUUAUAUGUUUAGUUAUAUUUUUACUGAUUUUUAUAGAGUAAAGAUAGAAAUAAAACUUAGUAAAAUCAGUAAAAAUAUUCUUAGACUAAAGUUAAGUAGUUUAAGUUGUGUGCAAGUGGUAGGAGAGCGUUCUAUUUGCGUCGAAGGUAUACCGGUAAGGAGUGCUGGAGCGAAUAGAAGUGAGCAUGCAGGCAUGAGUAGCGAUAAUUAAUGUGAGAAUCAUUAACGCCGUAAACCCAAGGUUUCCUACGCGAUGCUCGUCAUCGUAGGGUUAGUCGGGUCCUAAGUCGAGUCCGAAAGGGGUAGACGAUGGCAAAUUGGUUAAUAUUCCAAUACCAACAUUAGUGUGCGAUGGAAGGACGCUUAGGGCUAAGGGGGCUAGCGGAUGGAAGUGCUAGUCUAAGGUCGUAGGAGGUUAUACAGGCAAAUCCGUAUAACAAUACUCCGAGAACUGAAAGGCUUUUUGAAGUCUUCGGAUGGAUAGAAGAACCCCUGAUGCCGUCGAGCCAAGAAAAGUUUCUAAGUUUAGCUAAUGUUGCCCGUACCGUAAACCGACACAGGUGGGUGGGAUGAGUAUUCUAAGGCGCGUGGAAGAACUCUCUUUAAGGAACUCUGCAAAAUAGCACCGUAUCUUCGGUAUAAGGUGUGGUUCGCUUCGUAUUAGGAUUUACUCCGAAAGCGAAGAAACUUACAACAAAGAGUCCCUCCCGACUGUUUACCAAAAACACAGCACUCUGCUAACUCGUAAGAGGAUGUAUAGGGUGUGACGCCUGCCCGGUGCUCGAAGGUUAAUUGAUGGGGUUAGCAUUAGCGAAGCUCUUGAUCGAAGCCCGAGUAAACGGCGGCCGUAACUAUAACGGUCCUAAGGUAGCGAAAUUCCUUGUCGGUUAAAUACCGACCUGCAUGAAUGGCGUAACGAGAUGGGAGCUGUCUCAAAGAGGGAUCCAGUGAAAUUGUAGUGGAGGUGAAAAUUCCUCCUACCCGCGGCAAGACGGAGAGACCCCGUGGACCUUUACUACAGCUUGACACUGCUAUUUGGAUAAGAAUGUGCAGGAUAGGUGGGAGGCUUUGAGUAUAUGACGCCAGUUGUAUAUGAGCCAUUGUUGAGAUACCACUCUUUCUUAUUUGGGUAGCUAACCAGCUUGAGUUAUCCUCAAGUGGGACAAUGUCUGGUGGGUAGUUUGACUGGGGCGGUCGCCUCCCAAAUAAUAACGGAGGCUUACAAAGGUUGGCUCAGAACGGUUGGAAAUCGUUCGUAGAGUAUAAAGGUAUAAGCCAGCUUAACUGCAAGACAUACAAGUCAAGCAGAGACGAAAGUCGGUCUUAGUGAUCCGGUGGUUCUGUGUGGAAGGGCCAUCGCUCAAAGGAUAAAAGGUACCCCGGGGAUAACAGGCUGAUCUCCCCCAAGAGCUCACAUCGACGGGGAGGUUUGGCACCUCGAUGU